rnacentral:lncRNA from 13 species
UUACUUUGUUUGGUCGUUGGGUGGUCGGUCAGCCAGCCAGCCGGCCAGUCAGUCGGCCAGUCAGUCGGCCAGUCAGUCGGCCAGUCAGUCAAUCGGCCGGCCAGUCAGUCAGUCGGCCGGUCAGUCGGCCAGUCGGCCAGCCGGUCAGUCGGCCAGCCGGUCAGUCGGCCAGCCGGCCAGCCGGUCAGCCGGCCAGUCGGCCAGCCGGCCAGUCGGCCAGCCGGUCAGUCGGCCAGUCAGUCGGCCAGUCGGCCAGUCAGUCGGCCAGUCGGCCAGUCAGUCAGUCAGUGGGCCAGUCAGUCAGUCAGUGGGCCAGUCAGUCAGUCAGUGGGCCAGUCAGUCAGUCAGUCGGCCAGUCAGUCAGUCGGCCAGCCAGUCAGCCAGCCGGUCAGCCGGUCAGCCGGCCAGCCGGUCAGCCGGUCAGCCGUUUGGCCAGUGAGUCCUCUCGUGGUUUCUUCCAGUCACAGAAAGUUGAUCUUGUGUCUCUUCACCAGUCAGUACCAGUGUUUUAGUUCAACCACAAGCUUUCCGUUCCCAUAUGACGAUAUUGGGUCCUUCUUUGAUUGCCUCACAUCCUUAUCCAAUGACAUCGCAUCCUUUCCCGAUGACAUAUGACGAUAUUGGGUCCUUCUUUGAUUGCCUCACAUCCUUAUCCAAUGACAUCGCAUCCUUUCCCGAUGACAUAAUGUCCAUUUUAAAUGACAUCACUUCUGGGUGUCAGUGAGGUCAAAGUCCAGCACCAAGAGUUUAGUCUCCUCUGUUCCGUUCCUGCUGCCAACAGCUGCUACCAGUCUGGUGUUAGAUGCCCUGGAGAGAGAGGAGAGAGAGGAGGGUUAUACCAGUCUGGUGUUAGAUGCCCUGGAGAGAGGAGAGAGGAGGGUUAUACCAGUCUGGUGUUAGAUGUCCUGGAGAGAGGAGAGAGGAGGGUUACCAGUCUGGUGUUAGAUGCCCUGGAGAGAGGAGAGAGGAGGGUUAUACCAGUCUGGUGUUAGAUGCCCUGGAGAGAGGAGAGUUA